rnacentral:rRNA from 2 species
ACGCCGCGUGAGUGAUGAAGGCUUUCGGGUCGUAAAACUCUGUUGUUAGGGAAGAACAAGUACGAGAGUAACUGCUCGUACCUUGACGGUACCUAACCAGAAAGCCACGGCUAACUACGUGCCAGCAGCCGCGGUAAUACGUAGGUGGCAAGCGUUAUCCGGAAUUAUUGGGCGUAAAGCGCGCGCAGGCGGUUCCUUAAGUCUGAUGUGAAAGCCCACGGCUCAACCGUGGAGGGUCAUUGGAAACUGGGGAACUUGAGUGCAGAAGAGAAAAGCGGAAUUCCACGUGUAGCGGUGAAAUGCGUAGAGAUGUGGAGGAACACCAGUGGCGAAGGCGGCUUUUUGGUCUGUAACUGACGCUGAGGCGCGAAAGCGUGGGGAGCAAACAGGAUUAGAUACCCUGGUAGUCCACGCCGUAAACGAUGAGUGCUAAGUGUUAGAGGGUUUCCGCCCUUUAGUGCUGCAGCUAACGCAUUAAGCACUCCGCCUGGGGAGUACGGUCGCAAGACUGAAACUCAAAGGAAUUGACGG